rnacentral:piRNA from 1 species
UNGCCAUCACUUAACACAGGGAAGCCUGUAC